rnacentral:tRNA from 1 species
UCCAGGGUAGCCUAGUGGACAUGGCAUCUUUCCAGUAAGUGGAACACUGUGGGUUUGAUUCCCAUCCCUGGAC